UGCCUCCUACACUAUUCAAGGUUUGCAUGGACUGGGUGUUGGGUAGGGUUGUCGAAACCAGUGGUUUAGGUACUUUUUGUUUCUAAGGAC